GUGAGGAAUAUUGGUCAAUGGACGCAAGUCUGAACCAGCCAAGUAGCGUGAAGGAUGACUGCCCUAUGGGUUGUAAACUUCUUUUAUAAGGGAAUAAAGUCGGCCACGUGUGGCCGUUUGUAUGUACCUUACGAAUAAGGAUCGGCUAACUCCGUGCCAGCAGCCGCGGUAAUACGGAGGAUCCGAGCGUUAUCCGGAUUUAUUGGGUUUAAAGGGAGCGCAGGUGGACAUUUAAGUCAGCUGUGAAAGUUAGCGGCCCAACCGUUAAAUUGCAGUUGAUACUGGAUGUCUUGAGUACGGUCAAGGAAGAUGGAAUUUGUGGUGUAGCGGUGAAAUGCUUAGAUAUCACAAAGAACUCCGAUUGCGAAGGCAGUCUUCCGGCCCGUCACUGACACUGAGGCUCGAAAGUGUGGGUAUCAAACAGGA
rnacentral:rRNA from 1 species